UAUUUUUUCAUCCUUGCCACAUUCUAUUAGUCAAGAAUAUCACGUUCUAUUGCUAUGUGGUAAUAUUUACUUAAGUUAUUAAUGGUCAUAAGUGGAAUAUAAAGUUUCAUAUUGAUUUAAAAGAAUGUACAGGGGUAAAUGCAUAGUUAUGUUCUGUGUAAGUUUAAUAUCAACUUCAUUUUAUUUUAACUUGGAAUUGGAAGAAGAACUAGAAGGGUUUUGACAUAGAUGUGAAGAAGUUGGAACAAUUGGAUUAUUUUGAUAGUAUUACAUUUUGUAAAGUAUAUAUUGUGAUGGGGUUUGAUUACUACUCUGCCCAUGUUUUAUCCAUCUUUUACUUUAUUUUUCAUGGCAAAUAAAGGAUGAAAUACUAGUCAUAAAAGAUUUAUUUUUAAAUUUUUUAUUUAAUUUUAUGGAGAUAGAGGGCCUAGAAGGUGUUUGAUAAAAUGUGUGAAUAGAGAAAAAGGUGAAAAAUAGUGAAGAACAAGACUUGGUUAUUGUCGUUGUGCUCCACACUCUUCAAUAGUAUCAAAUGGUACAAUUUACUUCUUCACAGGGAAUUAUAUUGAAUAGUAUCAUAUGGACGCAUGUUUGUACUUGACGUCCUUGUUCGUUGUUGCUCUUUCAUAUAUUACCAGGACUCUUCUUUGUUUAAUACUUGUUUUCUUUGAGUAGUUUCAAAGUUUAACUAACUUCUUUUCUGCUUGAAUCGAUAGUGAUGGACGUGUCUAACAUAAAAAUAGGUCGUUGAUAAUAGCAAAUUCCCAAAUUUAAGAUCGAUUCUGUUGAAUUUGAAACACUCACACAAGGGUCCUUGCCGCCAACUUUUCAAGAUUGGCUCUGCUGUUGGUGGUACUUAUUUUAGCUCAUGAAUUGGAGGUAGUAGAGGAUGCAGAAUGCAAGUUUAUUUGAAGCCAAGUUUCAUUCAAGGUCAUUGAGUUGGGUUGAUAGAAGUAAUGUUUUGUAUAUGACAAUAUUGAACAAAUAUGUAAAGUUUUCAAAAUGUUGAUACAUAUAUGGUAAAAUGUUAAUAUA